rnacentral:rRNA from 1 species
CCUACGGGAGGCAGCAGUGGGGAAUAUUGCGCAAUGGGCGAAAGCCUGACGCAGCGACGCCGCGUGAGGGAUGAAGGUCUUCGGAUCGUAAACCUCUGUCAGCAGGGAAGAACGGUCACUGUGCUAAUCAGCAGUGAAUUGACGGUACCUGCAAAGGAAGCACCGGCUAAAUCCGUGACAGCAGCCGCGGUAAUACGGAGGGUGCGAGCGUUAAUCGGAAUUACUGGGCGGAAAGGGCGCGUAGGCGGUAUGUCAAGUCAGGGGUGAAAUCCCCGGGCUCAACGUGGGAACUGCAUUUGAAACUGGCAAACUGGAGUGUGUGAGAGGAUGGUGGAAUUCCAGGGGUAGGAGUGAAAUCCGUAGAUAUCUGGAGGAACAUCAAUGGCGAAGGCGACUAUCUGGCACAUAACUGACGCUGAGGAGCGAAAGCGUGGGUAGCAAACAGGAUUAGAUACCCGUGUAGUC